rnacentral:lncRNA from 1 species
CCAGCUUGUGCUUCAUACAGUCUGGCAUUUUAGAUGAUAUACUCUGCAUAUAAGUUAAAUAAGCAGGGUGACAAUAUAUAGCCUUGAUGUACUACUUUCCCAAUUUGGAACCAGCCCAUUGUUCCAUGUCCAAUUCUAACUGUUGCUUCUUGACCAACAGUUAGAACCGACCAUGGUACUGUUUGUAGUGGUUGCCAAUGUCUGUGGUAUUGGCACUCCCACCAUUUCAAUUUCAACUUACCUUUUGGUAUCACUGAAUGCAGAAUUGGAAAGAGGGGCUAAAAAUUGGCUUCCAGGAGCAGCAUGGAUGGACUUUCACACACCAGUAACCGUUGAUGGGAGAGACACCCCAUGGCUCAGAUUUACGAAAAUAUGCAUCAGAUUUGAAACCGCUUACCUGAAAUGAGUAUGCCAUUAUAUCAGAGCUUUCUUUCAAGUCGUUAUCUGGAAAAUUUCCUGAAAUUGCCAAGAAUCUGCCACUUUCAAUAAUAUCAACUCUGAAAGAGAGAGAGAGGCUAGGAGAGACCGUGGGGGACAGAAGUGUUGAUUGCUGCCCAUGGCCAUGCUGGUUUCUUUUCUUCCCCUGUGUAAAGACUGCUGGCUUGGUAUCUCUGGACUCUAGCAGCGCUGGAGAAGAAAUUGGGAUUGUAAAAGAAAUCUUCGUUUUCUGUAAAAAUGUCCUCAAGGAAGUUCAACUCAAUUGCCUUCCUCUGAAAAAGACGCUAAACUACGUGAUUGUUCGAUGCUCCUGGAAAGAAAUAUCUGUUUCAUUUGAAGUUUCCAUUUUACCCUUGAAACCUAGGUUUGAUGGUGUGAGAAAUGCUUGCCUUCCUUUCUUUCUCCUGGUUGAGUUACAGAGAAUCAUUAGGUGCUUAUUAGACUAAUGUGAAGGCAGAUAACACCGGUUAUGGAGCCCAUGACUCAUUUUUAAAUUUUACCAGUUCUCUUUCACUUACUGCCUAAAUUGCAGGCUUUCUUGUGACAGGUAGCUCUGAAAUAGUAGAUAUCAAAAUUUAUGACUUAAAAAAGUUAAGGUGCUUAUCUUUAGAAAAUUCCUGGUAUGAGCCAAUUACCAACCUCUUUACUUUC